rnacentral:rRNA from 1 species
UACGUAGGGUGCGAGCGUUAAUCGGAAUUACUGGGCGUAAAGUGUGCGCAGGCGGCCGAGCAAGUCGAGUGUGAAAGCCCCGAGCUUAACUUGGGAACUGCGCUCGAAACUACUUGGCUAGAGUGUGGCAGAGGGAGGUGGAAUUCCACGUGUAGCGGUGAAAUGCGUAGAUAUCGGGAAGAACACCCGUGGCGAAGGCGGCUCUCUGGGACGGUACUGACGCUGAGACGCGAAAGCGUGGGGAGCGAACAGG